rnacentral:misc_RNA from 1 species
GAUGAAGAACGUAGCGAAAUGCGAUAAGUAAUGUGAAUUGCAGAAUUCAGAGAAUCAUCGAAUCUUUGAACGCACCUUGCGCCUUUUGGUAUUCCGAAAGGCACACCUGUUUGAGCGUCAUGAAUACCUCAAUCUCCAUCUUUUCUUCGGAUUGAUGGGUGACUUGGAUGUUGAGCCCUGCUGGUAUGCUAUAUCAGCUGGCUUUAAACUUAUUAGCCGGCUCUGUACUGGAUCGGUUUGACUCGACGUGAUAAUAUUAUCGUUGAGGAUGCAUGUCUCAUGCAGCCGGAAAGUAUCAAAGCAGCUUCUAGCUUGCCUUUAGUGCACUUUUACAUUUUAGACCUCAGAUCAGGUGGGACUACCCGCUGAACUUAAGCAUAUCAAUAAGCGGAGGA